GCAAUGUGGAUGUCCCAUGGGGUCACUGACCCUGGCCUCUGUCCAUGUGGCACAGGGCAUGUAGGGCUUCAGGAUGCAGAGUUCCUUUCCACAAUAUUAGAGGCAAAGUGGUUUUCGUGUCCUUAGCUGUAUGUUCCUGCAGCUUCUCAGAGUCCUGACAACAGUGAGCUAGAAGACAAACUGCAGGAAACACAU
rnacentral:snoRNA from 1 species